rnacentral:tRNA from 1 species
GCUCGGCUAGCUCAGUUGGUUAGAGCGUCGUACUAAUAUUACUCAUGAGUAAUAUCAAGUUAAUGCGAAGGUCCUCAGUUCAAUCCUGUGGCUGAGCA